UGGUAGAUAUAGUCUGGGGAUACCUUUA
rnacentral:piRNA from 1 species